rnacentral:sRNA from 2 species
AUCUGCACGACACCGCAUGACAGGAGCGGGGGACCCACGUUUUGGCGGGGCAUCGCGGAUGCUCCUCGGGGUGAAGUCCUGGGACGCAGCGGACCGCCAGGUCGGUCCGGUGUCGCAGGGCCGGGCCAGACCUCUGGCUCGAACCCGACAGCUGACCCCGCAGGCGGGAUAGAGGUCAUCA